rnacentral:rRNA from 1 species
CAGCAGCCGCGGGAAUACGGAGGGUGCAAGCGUUAAUCGGAAUUACUGGGCGUAAAGCGCACGCAGGCGGUCUGACAAGUCAGAUGUGAAAUCCCCGGGCUUAACCUGGGAACUGCAUUUGAAACUGUCAGGCUGGAGUCUUGUAGAGGGGGGUGGAAUUCCAGGUGUAGCGGUGAAAUGCGUAGAGAUCUGGAGGAAUACCGAUGGCGAAGGCAGCCAUCUGGCCUAAUACUGACGCUGAGGUACGAAAGCAUGGGGAGCAAACAGGAUUAGAUACCCCUGUAGUCCCUGUCUCUUAUAC